rnacentral:tRNA from 1 species
GUUGUUGUGGCUCAGUGGUAGAGCGCAUGCCUAGCAUGUAUGAAGCACAGGGUUUGAUUCUCAGCAUUG